GAUGAACGCUGGCGGCGUGCCUAAUACAUGCAAGUCGAGCGAACAGACGAGGAGCUUGCUCCUCUGACGUUAGCGGCGGACGGGUGAGUAACACGUGGAUAACCUACCUAUAAGACUGGGAUAACUUCGGGAAACCGGAGCUAAUACCGGAUAAUAUAUUGAACCGCAUGGUUCAAUAGUGAAAGACGGUUUUGCUGUCACUUCUAGCUGGAUCCGCGCCGCAUUAGCUAGUUGGUAAGGUAACGGCUUACCAAGGCGACGAUGCGUAGCCGACCUGUGAGGGUGAUCGGCCACACUGGAACUUAGACACGGUCCAGACUCCUACGGGAGGCAGCAGUAGGCAAUCUUCCGCAAUGGGCGAAAGCCUGACGGAGCAACGCCGCGUGAGUGAUGACGGUCUUCGGAUCGUAAAACUCUGUUAUUAGUGAUGAACAAAUGUGUAAGUAACUAUGCACGUCUUGACGGUACCUAAUCAGAAAGCCACGGCUAACUACGUG
rnacentral:rRNA from 1 species